GAGCCCUCCCCCUUCCCAGCCCCGCCCGCCGCCCCGCGCCGCCACCUGCGGGCCGCCCUCCAGGAUGCCCGCCGGCCACGUCCUAGUCGCCUGGAGCCGCACCCCGCCUUCCUCGCCCGCGGCUGCCCCUGCACUUUUACCCACGCCGUGGGGCACAGAGAAGUAUCCGGUAAAGACCUGGAUCCGGAAAAGCUGAUCACAUCCCUCCCCGAGCGCUUAUUACUUCUAGCACUUCUCGGGGUCCUUCCAGAGGGUCAUAGAGGACAUUGGGAGGACUUGAAGAAGACUCAGACCAGAACCAAAGAUGUAAGGAAACUAAACCCUGCAAAACCUGAUUUCUCAUACCGGCAUAGACUUGACUUGAAGAGAUCAUCAAGUGUAUAGUGAAGAUUGGCUCAGGCAAGAAUCAUCCAUGAAUGCUUACUCUAGGGGGCUGUUACUGGCUGGCAGAUAUUUGUCUGGGUUGAUGUGUCUCCCUAUAGAUGGUUUAGACCUGUUAGUAGCAAAAGCGGAAAUAGUAAUUAUACAAAGAGGCAGGCAGACAGCAUCUUAACCAGGUGAUCAAAAUUUACAUCACCAAUGAGAGCAGAUGGAUAUCAUGUCCACAUCAGCUAUGCAGUAUUCCUGGGGACAAUGCAUAACCUGAAUCAUGAUAAUGAAACAUCGGACAAACCCAAAAUGAGGAACAUCUAUUAAAAAGAGGAAGGGUCUGUAUUAUUCAAAAAUGUCAAGGUCAUUAAAAUCAAAAGAAAGCUUGGGAAAUGUUCCAGAUUAAAGGGUGCAAAAGAGUCAGGGCAGCUAAAUGCCAUGCCUGAUCCUAGACUGCAUCCUGUGCUAGAGGAGGGGAAAUACAUCACGGACAUUCCAGCUGACAAAAUCAGAAUCCAUGUAAGAGAUUAAAGUAUUGGAUCAAUGUUAAA